AUACGGAGGGAGCGAGCGUUAAUCGGAAUUACUGGGCGUAAAGCGCGCGUAGGCGGCUUUGUAAGUCGGAUGUGAAAGCCCAGGGCUCAACCCUGGAAUUGCAUUCGAUACUGCAGAACUAGAGUAUGGUAGAGGGAAGUGGAAUUUCCGGUGUAGCGGUGAAAUGCGUAGAUAUCGGAAGGAACACCAGUGGCGAAGGCGACUUCCUGGGCCAAUACUGACGCUGAGGUGCGAAAGCGUGGGGAGCAAACAGGAUUAGAAACCCCUGUAGUCC
rnacentral:rRNA from 1 species